rnacentral:rRNA from 1 species
CCUACGGGAGGCAGCAGUGAGGAAUAUUGGUCAAUGGGCGCGAGCCUGAACCAGCCAAGUAGCGUGAAGGAUGACUGCCCUACGGGUUGUAAACUUCUUUUAUAAAGGAAUAAAGUGAGGCACGUGUGCCUUUUUGUAUGUACUUUAUGAAUAAGGAUCGGCUAACUCCGUGCCAGCAGCCGCGGUAAUACGGAGGAACCGAGCGUUAUCCGGAUUGAGGGGGUUUAAAGGGAGCGUAGAGGGGUUGUUAAGUCAGAUGUGAAAGUUGGCGGCUCAACCGUAAAAUUGCAAUUGAUACUGGCAGCCUUGAGUACAGUUGAGGUAGGCGGAAUUCGUGGUGUAGCGGUGA